UACAGAGGUCUCAAGCGUUGUUCGGAUUCAUUGGGCGUAAAGGGUGCGUAGGUGGUGGGGUAAGUCGGAUGUGAAAUCCCCGGGCUCAACCCGGGAACUGCGUCCGAUACUGGGAGGCUUGAAUCCGGGAGAGGGAUGUGGAAUUCCCGGUGUAGUGGUGAAAUGCGUAGAUAUCGGGAGGAACACCAGUGGCGAAGGCGACUUCCUGGCCUGUUCUUGACGCUGAGGCGCGAAAGCUAGGGGAGCAAACGGG
rnacentral:rRNA from 1 species